AUUGAAGUUUUACUUGGGUACAGAAUAUUAAAACUUGAUUAAAUAGGGGCAAAGGGCUCUCCAAGACUUGCUUCCUCUUUCUUCCUUGCAAAAGAAAAGAUGAAAACUGCAUUCAGAUGUGACAGUGGGAAAGGAGACUGAUCACGUCAUCCAUCUACUACACUGAACAAAGAUUGUUGUGAGGAUAAAGUGAGAGGGGAAGAGAGCCAUGCAUGAUAUCUUCAGCUCACUGGGGAAAAAGAGUGUACCAAAUGAGAAAGUGUUGUUAUAGAAUCAGAAGCAAAAUAAAGUGUUAUGCCAAGAUCUUCUGCACUUUGAUUAUUUUGA